AGCUGAAGAAAAUUGAGAUGAAAGCCAGUCCACGCCUCAGCAUCCUGAGGAAAUGUUCUUCCUUGAUGCUCUGAGCUCUCUAAGAAGUUACCACAAAACCAAACCCAUCAGAAGUUUGCAGGACGUCCUUGUUUAGAGCUGGGAAAUAAACCACGAAACAGCGCAAAGGAGAGUCCAGGCCUGCCAAUGCUUCCGCGAACUCCUCGCCCCGACCUCAUCCUUCUCCAGCUCCUACCUGCAGGCCUCAGGCCUCCUGACCUCCAGGCUCCUUACCCUCCCGCUGGCCUCUGCUCUACACUCAUCUUUGUGCCCUGCUUCCAAUCAUGCCAGGCCUCGGGGUCCCUGUCUCUAACUUCACCAUGAGACUCAGGUGCUUCUCUACACUCCACCCUCUCCAACACUGUUUGGAAUCUCAGGCUUGGUCCCAAUCCUAUGGGCUAACUUUGAAAAGACCGCUGUUCAUAAGGAGAGAGAAAGGAGGAAGAGAUGAGAAAGGAAGACAGAGAAAGAAACUCUAUGAUCACGGUUUUUCCAAAAUUCAUGGUUAAAUUAGAACUUACUAUGUGCAAAUAUAGAAGCACGGGUCCACAGAGUUCCAGAGAAUGAAUGCUGACGACUAAGCACCAGCCUCCACUCCCUGCCCCAUAGUGAGUAUCCCUCCUCUGUGUGCUCAUGCUGUGAAUCCCCCCCAUUCUACCACUUCUCCCCUCAUCACUGGCUUGCUGUAGGAUCAGAAGUUCCUUAAGAACAAGAACCUUCUCCCAGUGUAUCCCCAGCACCUAAUACAGAAGGUAAUAAGGAGGAGGCAUCUGCUAAACGCUUGUUGAAGGAGUGAAAUUGAGAGACCAGGAAGGGCCUGCAGGCAUUGUGGUGAGCCUGCCUGUUGUCCACGUGGCUGCAGCAAGCAAACAUGGGUUUUCCUUGGAAGGACUGUGGGCCAUCAACCCAUUAAUUGCCGAGUUGCUUCUAUCAGGGCAAGGCUGUGGAAUCCUGUUAUCCUAGACAAUGAGGUACAGGGUGCAAGCAGAUCUGUGUGCUGCUGUCUUCCGGUAAACGGACCAAGUUCUCACUUCCCAUCCUCCUCCCCAGUCUCACCCACCCGUGCUCCCAAGAGAGCAAUUCAUCAUGUCAGUGUCUGGUGUUUUCUUGAAGGCCUGUGCUAAAUAAAGUGGAUUGUUUAUAAAGUGGGA